AUUGAACGCUGGCGGCAUGCCUUACACAUGCAAGUCGAACGGCAGCAUGGAAGAGCUUGCUCUUCUGAUGGCGAGUGGCGAACGGGUGAGUAAGGCAUCGGAACGUACCGUGUAGUGGGGGAUAACGUAGCGAAAGUUACGCUAAUACCGCAUACGCACUGAUGUGGAAAGCAGGGGACCGCAAGACCUUGCGCUAUACGAGCGGCCGAUGUCAGAUUAGCUAGUUGGGAGGGUAAAGGCCUAACAAGGCGACGAACUGUAGCGGGUCUGAGAGGAUGAUCCGCCACACUGGGACUGAGACACGGCCCAGACUCCUACGGGAGGCAGCAGUGGGGAAUUUUGGACAAUGGGGGAAACCCUGAUCCAGCCAUGCCGCGUGAGUGAAGAAGGCCUUCGGGUUGUAAAGCUCUUUCGGCUGGGAAGAAAUCGCACAGGCUAAUACUCUGUGUGGAUGACGGUACCAGCAUAAGAAGCACCGGCUAACUACGUGCCAGCCGCCGCCGUAA
rnacentral:rRNA from 1 species